AGUGAACGCUGGCGGUAGGCCUAACACAUGCAAGUCGAACGGCAGCACAGUAAGAGCUUGCUCUUACGGGUGGCGAGUGGCGGACGGGUGAGGAAUACAUCGGAAUCUACUUUUUCGUGGGGGAUAACGUAGGGAAACUUACGCUAAUACCGCAUACGACCUACGGGUGAAAGCAGGGGAUCUUCGGACCUUGCGCGAUUGAAUGAGCCGAUGUCGGAUUAGCUAGUUGGCGGGGUAAAGGCCCACCAAGGCGACGAUGCGUAGCUGGUCUGAGAGGAUGAUCGGCCACACUGGAACUGAGACACGGUCCAGACUCCUACGGGAGGCAGCAGUGGGGAAUAUUGGACAAAGGGCGCAAGCCUGACCCAGCCAUACCGCGUGGGUGAAGAAGGCCUUCGGGUUGUAAAGCCCUUUUGUUGGGAAAGAAAAGCAGCAGGUUAAUACCCCGCUGUUCUGACGGUACCCAAAGAAUAAGCACCGGCUAACUACGUG
rnacentral:rRNA from 1 species